rnacentral:rRNA from 1 species
CCACCCUUUAAUGUUUGAUGUUCUAACGUUGGCCCCUUACCGGGGUUGCGGACAGUGUCUGGUGGGGAGUUUGACUGGGGCGGUCUCCUCCCAAAGCGUAACGGAGGAGCACGAAGGUUAGCUAAUCCUGGUCGGACAUCAGGAGGUUAGUGCAAUGGCAUAAGCUAGCUUGACUGCGAGCGUGACGGCGCGAGCAGGUGCGAAAGCAGGUCAUAGUGAUCCGGUGGUUCUGAAUGGAAGGGCCAUCGCUCAACGGAUAAAAGGUACUCCGGGGAUAACAGGCUGAUACCGCCCAAGAGUUCAUAUCGACGGCGGUGUUUGGCACCUCGAUGUCGGCUCAUCACAUCCUGGGGCUGAAGUAGGUCCCAAGGGUAUGGCUGUUCGCCAUUUAAAGUGGUACGCGAGCUGGGUUUAGAACGUCGUGAGACAGUUCGGUCCCUAUCUGCCGUGGGCGCUGGAGAAUUG